rnacentral:tRNA from 1 species
UGCGCCGGACGACGUCACGGGCGGUUAAGCGCGCGUUCCUCGUAAUGAAUAGGUCAAGAGUUCGAUUCUCUUAGGCGGCUCCA